AGUUAAUAAUAUAAGCUUGGCCGACCAUAUGGUUCUGACUUACUACUCAGGUUUGGAGCUUGAAAACAGCCUUAAUUUUUACAUGACACGAAUCUUUACAUAUUUUCAACUAUUUAAACAUUUUAAAAACCAUUUGUAUUCUUAGCUCAUGAGCCACAGAAAAACGGAGUGUAGUCGGCUGACCCCUAGCAUAGAGCAGUGCUGUUGGCUACUAACCACACCUCUCUACCUCUUUCUUACUCUAAUAUUACCCACCACAACAGCCAGAAAGUUCUUUUGAGAACAUCUAUCUGAUCAUGACACUGUCUUACUUAAAAUCUUCCAGUGACUACUAUUACCCUUAGGGUAGUCCAGAUUCCAUAAUGUGGUUUACUGGACUCUAUGACUUCUAAGAGAAGUCUUAGAGUCUUCUCUUGUAUUCCCUGUCCAACCUUCCAGUAGUUAAGAGGCAUCCCC
rnacentral:lncRNA from 10 species